rnacentral:rRNA from 1 species
AUUCCAGCUCCAAUAGCGUAUGUUAAAGUUGUUGCGGCUAAAAAGCUCGUAGUUGGAUUUCUAGAUGAGAGGAGUGGUCCACUCUAUGAGUGUGUAUCUACUUCCGCUCGUCUAUCCGCUCUGCAAACGUGUCUGCGCUUGACUGCGUGGCGCGGAGGUAGGGCCUUUUACUUUGAGGAAAUUAGAGUGUUCACGGCAGGCAAUCGCCUUGAAUAUAUUAGCAUGGAAUAAUAACAUAGGAUCUUGGUUCUAUUUUGUUGGUUUCUAGGGCUAAGAUAAUGAUUAAUAGGGACAAUUGGGGGCAUUCGUAUCGCGGUGUCAGAGGUGGAAUUCUUGGAUUACUGCGCGACGAACUACUGCGAAAGCAUUUGCCAAGGAUGUUUUCAUUA